rnacentral:lncRNA from 12 species
UUCUCAUUAUGACAGCACUACUAGUCAUUUGAAGAAUACAUUCAUCUAAAUAAACACACUCCAAAGUGAACCAAAUGCUAAUGCACAUUUUAUUGGAUGAAAAGACAAACAAUAUAAUUAUACUUGAAUUUUAGAAAAUCAAAGGUAGUAAAACAAGUUUACACCAGAGCCCAGGGCAGGGUUUAUAAGUUAGCCAUACACACAUUCUCUCCAAGCCACACAAGCCUGGAAAGUUUGCUAAAAUGAGCUGAGGGUUACUUCACCAGACUAACAAAAAGGAAAAUGUCUAUCAGUUUUUCUUUUGUUCUUUCCAGAUCCUGCUCAAGUGCACACUGAGCCAGCAGGUUCACCAGAAAGCUAUUGAGCAUUGGCUGGAACACAUUAUGCAGGGUGAAUUUCUUCUGGAAUGUUGCCAAAGGUUUUUUAUGCUUCUGUGAUAUAUUUGAGAAGCAUUUUCCCAGUGAACACUGAAAUCAGCAAAGGAGCCUCAUCAUGGUUUCUGUAAUUAAACUUUGAAAUAGAAUUUCCUGUUACUCAACCUUUGGUCUACUUUCAAACUUAGGCACAAAUUUAACUGAAGG